UCUAGCAGACGAUAGAAUUAAUAACCUUCUGUCUUAAGCCACAGGCCUGUGGAGCUUAAAUGGAAACGUACAUUAGCUGUUGCUUAUGUCAUGUUUGCUCUCUGUCAGAUGCUGCUAAUAGAAGCUAAUCUGUCAUAAACAUAUGAGUAGGACUGAUUUCUUCCAGCAGAGGACAGUGGUGCACAUAAGCACUUGACAUUAUCUUGUGGACUUCAUAACCUCUCCUCUUCAUAACAAGUCCUCCCAAGCUCGAAUGUGAGAUGCUAAGCAGUUCAGAAUAAUGUGGAAUUGUAAUUUAUCCAACUAAAAAAAUGUUCUGCAACAUUUGUUCCAUGUUCACUUUCUAAAAUACUUAUAUUUUAAAUGAGUAGAAUUAGCAGAAGGUUCUACGAGAACAAGUUGGGAGAUACCUUUAGCAGAUGCAGAUCUGCAGUUACUUCCACAGUAUAGUUUAGGAGUUUCAAUUUGUUGCUUUUUCUUGGUGAAAAUUCUUCAUGAAUCCUGAAGUCUGACCAAGACAUAAUUCCUUUUCAGUAAAGAAAAACUGGCCCCAGGUGGUCUUGAACACAUUCUGAAGAAUGAAAGAAGAUUGGUGUGCUGCUUCUCCUCAUCUCUUAUCGUGGAGCUCCCUGCAUAUGAGACACCCUAACAUAAUGCCUUUGUAGCAGUCUUUAAGCCAAGAGAAUGGGAUCUCUUGGAUUGACACCUUGCUUAACUGAGUGGCUGUGCUUUACUGAAUUUUUCCAUUGCUGAAGAAUCCAUCAGAGCCUUUGGGAUUCUGAAAUCAUAAGUCUCUUCUAAAUAUGCUGCGUUCAAAGGAUAUUGAAGAUAAUAAUUCAAUUAAAGUAAUUGCAAGUGCAUCUUCAUUCCAUUCAUUUUGUGGGUAUCUGAAGAGACAAGGUAUCUUGCUGCAACUUCACUAAGGAACUCGUCUCUCUCUUCCCACACAAACAGAGUGCAGAAUGGAGCUGUAGUAUGGACUUCUUUCAGAAAGAUGGC
rnacentral:lncRNA from 1 species